rnacentral:lncRNA from 1 species
GUUGUACUCUGUUUGAUUUGAAAUUUGUUAUGGGACUGGACAAAUUAGAUAACAAGGGACAAGACAAAAACAAGAUUUUUUGUCCCUCACUAAACCACGGGACAACUUUUUGUCCACAGUACAAAUAUAAAAAAUACGAAAAUACCCAUUUUAUUUUCAAAUAUAAAAAUAUUAUCGUCCUAUAUCUUUCCGGUACAAGUUUGUCCUGUCCUGUAUUAUCUUGUUCUGUCCUGUACUGUUCUG